AACUAACGCUGGCAGUGCGUCUUAAGCAUGCAAGUCAAACGGGAUGUAGCAAUACAUCUAGUGGCGAACGGGUGAGUAACGCGUGGAUGAUCUACCUACGAGAUGGGGAUAACUAUUAGAAAUAGUAGCUAAUACCGAAUAAAGUCAAUUAAUUUGUUAAUUGAUGAAAGGAAGCCUUUAAAGCUUCGCUUGUAGAUGAGUCUGCGUCUUAUUAGCUAGUUGGUAGGGUAAAUGCCUACCAAGGCGAUGAUAAGUAACCGGCCUGAGAGGGUGAACGGUCACACUGGAACUGAGAUACGGUCCAGACUCCUACGGGAGGCAGCAGCUAAGAAUCUUCCGCAAUGGGCGAAAGCCUGACGGAGCGACACUGCGUGAAUGAAGAAGGUCGAAAGAUUGUAAAAUUCUUUUAUAAAUGAGGAAUAAGCUUUGUAGGAAAUGACAAAGUGAUGACGUUAAUUUAUGAAUAAGCCCCGGCUAAUUACGUGCCAGCAGCCGCGG
rnacentral:rRNA from 1 species